UACGUAGGGUGCAAGCGUUAAUCGGAAUUACUGGGCGUAAAGCGUGCGCAGGCGGUUUUGUAAGUCUGUCGUGAAAGCCCCGGGCUCAACCUGGGAAUUGCGAUGGAGACUGCAAGGCUUGAAUCUGGCAGAGGGGGGUAGAAUUCCACGUGUAGCAGUGAAAUGCGUAGAGAUGUGGAGGAACACCGAUGGCGGAAGGCAGCCCCCUGGGUCAAGAUUGAACGGCUCAUGCACGAAAGCGUGGGGAGCAAA
rnacentral:rRNA from 1 species